rnacentral:rRNA from 1 species
CAGCAGUAGCCGCGGGAAUACGUAGGUGGCAAGCGUUGUCCGGAAUUAUUGGGCGUAAAGCGCGCGCAGGUGGUUUAAUGAGUCUGAUGUGAAAGCCCACGGCUCAACCGUGGAGGGUCAUUGGAAACUGUUAAACUUGAGUGCAGGAGAGAAAAGUGGAAUUCCUAGUGUAGCGGUGAAAUGCGGAGAGAUUAGGAGGAACACCAGUGGCGAAGGCGGCUUUUUGGCCUGUAACUGACACUGAGGCGCGAAAGCGUGGGGAGCAAACAGGAUUAGAUACCCGUGUAGUCCCUGUCUCUUAUAU